ACCGCAUCAUGUCAGCUGCUUCUUGAGUUCUAGACUUUGUGGAAGAAUUGUUAAUGAUCCCACUAGAGCCUUCAAAAAACUUAGAGUGCUGGUGCAAAGAGAAGACAGUUGGGUGGGAGAGAUGACACAGACAGAAGAACAGACGUGGAGGAAGAGGAGUGAAAAAAGACGUGUGAGAAAGAGAAGAGGCAAUGGAAACCAAAAAACUGAAUACGGGGAGCAGGAUCAGUUUCUCCAUUUAUCAGUAAGAUAAUUUCAAGAUAUUCACUGUCAAUAGUGACCACACUUGGAAAGGAGUUCUUCAGGAUGAAUCCAGCUGCGAGUGACUGAAGUAUGAAAAACAAGACAACAGGCCCUAAAUGCUAGGCCUCAGGUCACCAAACUGAGGCUGAAUUACAGUUUUGGCUCUCCCAGAAAUGGAAUCUUAAACCAGCCAACUAGGAAUCUCCUGAUUAGCACUAGUUACGUCAUCUGCCUGAUAGACCCCUGCCAUUCUCCAAAGGAAAGUAACCUUGCAAUAACCAACCCGCUUUUUCGGCCAAGUAAAACUUCUUGUUCCCACUCUUCUUCUGUCUAGAAAAGUCCUUUAUUGGGUACAGCUCCACCGAGGUCCUUUCUACCUGCUAGACUGAAUGCUGCCCCA